rnacentral:tRNA from 1 species
GCGGACAUAGCUCAGUUGGGAGAGCGUCAGACUGAAGUCAACUUCAAUCACGUAAUCUGAAGGUCGUGUGUUCAAUCCACACUGGCCGCA